CGUCUAUAUACGUAUAGCAUAUCAAUAAGCGGAGGAAAAGAAACUAACAAGGAUUCCCUUAGUAACGGCGAGUGAAGCGGGAAGAGCUCAAAUUUGAAAUCUUCAAGGUUCUACCUUGACGAAUUGUAGUUUAAAGAAGUGUUUUCUGUUAGAUGAGUAGCAAAAGUUCCUUGGAAUGGGACAUCAUAGAGGGUGAGAAUCCCGUAUUUGGUUAUUCAUUCUAGCUUUGUGAUACACUUUCAAAGAGUCGGAUUGUUUGGGAAUGCAGUCCAAAAUGGGUGGUAAAUUUCAUCUAAAGCUAAAUAUUGGCGAGAGACCGAUAGCGAACAAGUACCGUGAGGGAAAGAUGAAAAGAACUUUGAAAAGAGAGUUAAACAGUACGUGAAAUUGUCAAAAGGGAAGCGUUUGACACCAGUGUUGUUUUUCCGAAAAUCAAUUACGAAUGGCUUGAUUUUGUGUUGUAUUGACCUUAUCAGCUUUCUUCACUUUUUUCGAGUCUUUCUUAAUGCACUUUUCGGUUAACAAGUCAACAUCAAUUUCUUUUGUUGUAAAAGAGUAUUCGGAAGGUGGCUUUCUUUUCGGAGAAAGUGUUUAUAGCCUUGUGCCUCUGCAAUCGGAGAGAUUGAGGUCUGCAGCGUAGAUCCUUCGGGGUUAGAUACGUUUGUGCUAAGUUAUAGCUUUUCAUAGACAACUUGUUGACUAUGUUUAGUCUUGUAGCUUACUCGCUGACGCUAUUUUACCUACGCUUAGGAUGUUGACUGAUAUGUAGUCGUA
rnacentral:rRNA from 1 species